rnacentral:RNase_P_RNA from 1 species
GCAGCAGACCGUCUCAUCGUCUCGAAUUUAUUUUCGAGGAGGAAAGUCCGGACACCAUAGGGAAGCAUAGCGGCUAACAGCCGUCAGUACGUUUUACGUAUUAGGACAAGUGCAACAGAAAGAAUGUACAGGUAAUGCUGUAGUGAAACCAGGUAAACUCUAUGCGGUGCAAUGUCAUGUAAACCUGUGUUUGAGGGUUCCCGCCCGAUGCAGGAGGGUAGGCAGAUAAAGAAUAUUGGUAACGGUAUUUUUAGAUAAAUGAUGAGAUUCACUUUGGUGAAACAGGAUCCGGCUUAUAGGUCUGCUUUUUUU